GCGCAGACGCAGGAGCAGGCCGCGGCUGCUGUUUCUCAUUACAGUCAGGCGGAGAGGGCAGCCGGUUUGGACACUUUCCCUAAGCAACUGGCAAUCCCUGAAGGGCCAGAGGGAGCUUUAACAGCUGAAGUGAAAGGCAGCCGGAAAUUUACUCCAUGUGUCAGGGCUUUGCCAUUUUAAAAGAAGGACAUCAAGCAAUCUGAAAAUGGACCUCUAACUGCCAGCCUCCUGUUUUACUGCAUUUCUAAGACAACAAAAGAGGAAGAUGAUAUUUCUCUUCCAGGAAUGGAAACCAUACAGUGGGCAGGCCAUCCUGAGUUCAAGCCAUUCUUCUGAAAGGCAAAAGCAGCAGCCUUGGGGGCCUGAUCUGCACAUGACCAAGAGAGAAGGGGCCACCUCGGGAAUAGGGAAGGCUUUUUAGCACACACACACACAGUGUGAAUCUGAAAUCUUUGGCCAUCCCAACUCUACUGACACCAUUUCUGUUGUAAAGGAUACGAAGACAAGAUGGGUAGGACUGAACUGAAUGCUCAUGAGUUUCCUCUUACAAUUCACUACAUCAAAAAUUCUUUUAAUAUAAGCAAAAUAUGUGCUGCUUAUAUCCAUCAUGGCUUGCCAGCAAUGAAGAUAAAAAUACAGCCACAGAGACAGCACAAUCCUUUACACGUCUGUUCAGAAGUAAGCCAGAAUGAGUCCAGUGGAAGUUACUCUCUGGCGUGUGUGUAGGACUGCAGCUGUAAUCAUUGAUACCAAAUUCAAAACACUCCAUGAGUAAACUGCCCUCAGAUGCUGCAGACUGCACAAUCCUGUAUGACAGCCCUCUCCCUGCAGCAUCUGGUGAGCCAGUGCAAGGCCUGGAUCAGUGCCUAGACUCAGCAAGAGCCUGGAUGAGGGCCAGUAAACUAACUGAAGCUGAAUCCUGGCAAGACAGAUGCCCAGUGGGCGAGUGGCUUCUGAGUCCAGGCAGUAGGCGGCCUUUUCAGGAUGAGGGCACACUCUCCUUGAUGGGUCAAGUCUGAAGGCAUGGUUGUUGCUGGAGCCCCACAUGACUGCAACUUCAGUGAUAUCCCUUGGUCUGCACUGGCUGCCUGCUUGCUACUGGCCCAAGCUCCAGGUUUUGCUGCUAGUGUGUAACACCCGAAAUGACUUGGGACCAGGAUCCUGACAGAGCGUCUUCUCCCCUAAUGACCUGCCCAGUCUCUCAGGCCAUCAAUGGUGCUUCUGAAUGGACCUUUGGCCCAGCUGGAGUCUGCUGGGAGAAGAGCCUUCAAUAUGCAGCUCCAUUUUGGGGACACUUUCUGUCGCUGGAGGUCAGGUGGGUCCCAUUUCGGCAUAGCACCUCCUGAAAACACUUUUAUUUCAGGAAGCCUUCCUGAUCUAACCAGGCACAGUUUUAUUGAUAUGGUUUUAUUGAUCUUCUUUUUAAUGCCAUGUUUUAUUCUUUUAUUUGUUCUCUACUCUAAAAUACCUAUACUGGAAUAUGGAGAGGUAUAUAAAUCUUGAAAAUAAAUAAAUGUGUUCCUGCA